AAAGAUGCUGUCUACAAGCUUAGAGGAGUAGAAUCGGUAUCGGUGGAGCUAGAGAUGGAAAAAGUAACAGUAGUGGGAUAUGUGGAUCGAAAUAGGGUGCUUAAAGCAGUGAGGAGGCACGGGAAGCGGGCGGAGUUUUGGCCAUAUCCAAAUCCCCCAUUAUAUUUCACAUCAUCAAAUAACUAUUUCAAAGACAUGACAAGUGAGUAUAGAGAUAGUUAUAAUUAUUGGCGCCAUGGUUAUAAUGUUG
rnacentral:misc_RNA from 1 species